GAGGAACAUUAUUCCUGAGCUAACAUCUGUGCCAGCCUUCCUCUACUUUGUAUGUGGGUCACCACCACAACAUGGCCACUGACAAGUAGUAUACAUGCAUACCUGGGAACCAAACCUGGGCCGCUGAAGCAGAGCACACCAAACUUAACUCCUGGGCCAUAGAGCCAGCCCCCAAAAUACUCUUCAACAUGUCUCUUUUAUUUUCCAUUUCUGACAAUUUUAAGGGUGCACCUCCACAUUACUUUUGUUUUCUUAUGCUAUGCCGUGGUGUGGCAUUUUAAAGUAAGAAUAUGAUAAAAUAUUAAUUUAUGAAAUCCUCCAGAAGCCAUUUUAAGAUAUUGGAUGAGGUUUAGAAGAUCAAAUAUAUGACCCUUUCCCUUGGGAGUCGAUUUAGAAGACAUGCUUCAUUGGAAUUACUGCAGCAUGAAUCAGAUAGCAGAAAACUGUGUGGAUGAUAGGUUGAUCAGAACUUGCUGAAAGACUGUGUGUGAGCAAAGAAGAACAGAAAACAAGGUCUCCUAAUUAUAUAAUUUGAUCCACUGUGGACAUAUUUGUGUAAAUGCCUCAUGUGAG
rnacentral:lncRNA from 1 species